GAAAUAUAUUUAUUAAGCUUCUAACUUAAAAUCCAGCAAUUUGUUGAUAUUUCU
rnacentral:tRNA from 1 species